rnacentral:rRNA from 1 species
CCUACGGGAGGCAGCAGUGGGGAAUAUUGGGCAAUGGAGGCAACUCUGACCCAGCAACGCCGCGUGAAUGAUGAAGGUCUUCGGAUUGUAAAGUUCUUUUCUAAGGGAAGAAGAAAGUGACGGUACCUUAGGAAUAAGCCUCGGCUAACUACGUGCCAGCAGCCGCGGUAAUACGUAGGAGGCAAGCGUUAUCCGGAAUGACUGGGCGUAAAGGGUGCGUAGGUGGUUUGACAAGUUAGUAGCGCAACUCCGGAGCUCAACUUCGGAACUACUACUAAAACUGUUGGACUUGAGUGCAGGAGGGGAAAUCGGAAUUCCUAGUGGAGCGGUGGAAUGCGUAGAUAUUAGGAGGAACACCAGUGGCGAAGGCGGAUUGCUGGACUGUAACUGACGCUGAGGCACGAAAGCGUGGGGAGCAAACAGGAUUAGAUACCCCUGUAGUC